GGAUCAUUAAGGACCAAAAGUGACUGGAAGAGCCAUGAAAAUAUCAAAAUCAGCUGAAUCCUGCUCCCAUUUCUCACCAAAAUGUCUUCCAUGGAGACACAGAGAUUUCUUUGUCAAGAACAAAAGCUGCAAGUUUGUAUUUAAGGAGUGAUAAAGUUUUCCAUAUUGUACAUAUCUGCAGGAACAUAAAAUCGACAUCUCCUGUUAUGUUGGGUUACAGCUGAGGCCUGCAGACACAGCAAGAGACAAGUAAUGGGAACACCCACAGCAGUUUAAAACAGGCCAAGAAUGGCAAGCUGGUGUCUUGGUUGUGACCAAAUGUGCCCCAUCUCUAUGCUGUGUCCCACAGGCAGCUCUGGCUGUGGGUCUCACCGCUCACCCAUCCCACUGAGCUGUGAGAGAUCUUGAAAGAAGUGAAGAAACAGAGCCACAAAACCCCUGCUGCCCUGGCACGUGUUGUCAUGCGGCCCAGAAGAUCCAUGCAGCAGAGGUCUGGAGGCUGUUGCUGCUUCAGGGUGUUCUCCCUCAGCAGCCCCGGAAGAGAAGCAAACAGAACAGCAAGCAGGGCCUGCCAGAGGAGGUUGACUCCUCAUUGCUCUGAACCACUCUCUGCAGCUAUUCCAGCUUGAACCCAUCGCUCUCGUGCCUGGCAGUAAGAAUGGGG
rnacentral:lncRNA from 1 species